rnacentral:rRNA from 1 species
GAUGAACGCUGGCGGCGUGCCUAAUACAUGCAAGUCGAGCGAACAGACGAGGAGCUUGCUCCUCUGACGUUAGCGGCGGACGGGUGAGUAACACGUGGAUAACCUACCUAUAAGACUGGGAUAACUUCGGGAAACCGGAGCUAAUACCGGAUAAUAUAUUGAACCGCAUGGUUCAAUAGUGAAAGACGGUUUUGCUGUCACUUAUAGAUGGAUCCGCGCCGCAUUAGCUAGUUGGUAAGGUAACGGCUUACCAAGGCAACGAUGCGUAGCCGACCUGAGAGGGUGAUCGGCCAAACUGGAACUGAGAAACGGUCCAGACUCCUAAGGGAGGCAGCAGUAGGGAAUCUUCCGCAAUGGGCGAAAGCCUGACGGAGCAACGCCGCGUGAGUGAUGAAGGUCUUCGGAUCGUAAAACUCUGUUAUUAGGGAAGAACAAAUGUGUAAGUAACUAUGCACGUCUUGACGGUACCUAAUCAGAAAGCCACGGCUAACUACGUG